rnacentral:rRNA from 1 species
AACUUUCAACNACGGAUCUCUUGGCUCUCGCAUCGAUGAAGAACGCAGCGAAAUGCGAUAAGUAAUGUGAAUUGCAGAAUUCAGUGAAUCAUCGAAUCUUUGAACGCACCUUGCGCUCUUUGGUAUUCCGAAGAGCAUGCCUGUUUGAGUGUCA